AAUUUGGACUACAAAAACACAAACUAAGCUUCUUCAUGAUUCUCAAAGCUUUGAUGGUGAACCCGAAGUUCUUAACAGUUUUAGGUUUUGAAUCGUAUAACAAGGAAUCACUACUUUACUCUUCGGGAUCUCGUUGAGGUUCUAGUUUUAUAUCCAAUCAUACACAUGACAUCUACUCAUAUUUCACUCCGAAAUGCUAACCCAGAUUCUUCUUGCUCUUCAAAGCUUUGAUGGUGUAGCCUAAGUCCGUAUGAUUUUUGGUUUUGGAUCUUCUAACAGGGUAAGAUAAAUUUAGGUUCAUAGCCCUGGUUGUGGUUUUAGCCCUAAAACUCAAUCAUCCACCUAUCAUCUUGAGAU
rnacentral:sRNA from 1 species